GACGGAGGGUGCAAGCGUUGCUCGGAAUCACUGGGCGUAAAGAGCGUGUAGGCGGCCAUGCAGGUCAGCUGUGAAAACUCGAGGCUCAACCUCGAGACGUCGGUUGAAACCGUAUGGCUAGAGUCCGGAAGAGGAGAGUGGAAUUCCCGGUGUAGCGGUGAAAUGCGCAGAUAUCGGGAAGAACACCCGUGGCGAAGGCGGCUCUCUGGGACGGUACUGACGCUGAGACGCGAAAGCGUGGGGAGCGAACAGG
rnacentral:rRNA from 1 species